UUACGGACGUGUACGGUGUACGAAAUUCGCGAAUGACCGUAUUGCAGAAGCAAUUGCGAUAAAAAUUUCCACAGAAACUGCACAAGAUCGUAACGAAACUUCUCAAUAUUUAUAGUAUUGCGGUAUGCGGAGGUUCACAAUCAGGAGUGAAAAAUUACGAAGACGAUUAUGCGUCACAUUUACGCCAGAAUCGAAAUUGUGUUCUUGUAAUCGUUGUCUCGUCGGUCGUGCGCGUUAUGUGUGUGAAAUAUGAAUGAGCUUGGUUAUGAACUCAAACCGAGGGUUGCAUGCUGCGGUUGCCAGUUGCAGCGGUUAGAUACUCGAUUUUCCUAACGCGUUGGAUGCUGCGAUAUACGUUCGGUUACAGCGAAUGGAAGGUGCCGUGGUGCCGGUUGCGGUUCAAGAUGUCGAGAAAGAUAUCAAAAUGGGUUGCUUUGGGAGCAAAGACAAGUUGAGCAAGGAGGAUAUGGACUUCCUCAAGUCGCAUACGCGAUACGACGAAGCAACCAUAAAGGAAUGGUACAAAGGCUUUAAACAAGACUGUCCUAACGGCAGGUUAACGCCGGCGAAGUUUGUCGACAUGUACAAAAUGUUCUUCCCGUCCGGCAACGCGGAGGAAUUCUGCGACCAUGUUUUCCGCACAUUCGACAUGGACAAGAAUGGCUACAUCGAUUUUAAGGAAUUCCUAUUGGCGAUCGACGUAACGUCGAGCGGCACGCCGGAGGAAAAACUGAAAUGGGCCUUCCGUAUGUACGACGUUGACGGCAAUGGCGUUAUCGAUAUGCAAGAAAUGACGAAGAUCGUCCAGGCGAUAUACGACAUGCUCGGCGCGUGUUCGAGCAGUAGGCCGGCGGACAGCGCGGAGGACAGGGCGAAGAACAUAUUCGCGAAGAUGGAUGAGAACAACGACGGACAGCUGACGCAGGACGAAUUCCUCAAGGGCUGUCUCCAGGAUGAGGAGCUGUCGAAGAUGCUCGCCCCUUAAUCCCGACGCUACCGUAUUUCCGUCGACGUGCGAUCGUAAAGACACCCACGACUCUCAUCGACCUCCCCCUCCCUCCUCUCUCUCUCUCUCUCUUUCUCUCUCUCUCUCUCUAUCUAUAUCUAUCUCUCUCUCAGAACGUCUCAAUGGAAACGUCGUCAACGCCAGCGACAAACAAACCACCACCGAAAUCGACACCCGUUGUACACACAGACAUCAUUUACACGCGACACGUACACGUAUCAAACGUUAAUUUCCUAUUGACAAAAUGACGUACGCUAUUAUUGCAGCGGUUCGAUUAAACGAGUCCGCAGCUCGUGCCCAUAUUCGUGGGGCCGCGAUGAAAAUCGAAGGAUCGACCCGAUCGAGGAUGAUCGAGGACGAUUGAUAAACGACGGCGAUUUCGAGCGGAGUCGCUGCGUGUUUUUCGCGAGAGCUCGCUCGAAAAACGAAAAAGAUUUUCCGAGAGACCGAGAGUGGCGCAUCGCGCGCCCAGAGCUUUCGGACGACCGUCGAACAGCGGCAGAAUGCUGACGGUCGGAAUCCUGAGGAGGGAAGCCUCGCGAGCACGGAGAUCGGAGAACGACGCGACCGGCGACGACGGGAGAUCUAAUUUAGCCUCGCGCGCGCACGAGGAAGAACCUUCACGAACUCGGACUCGCGUUGACAAUCGCGGAGUCCCACUCGUCGUCCGGAUUCGAGAAUUUCGUCGUACUUGCGGAAUUAGCGCGAAAGGAGCCCUCGGUAGUUCUCUCACGGGGCGAGUGACAGCGUCGGGGUCGCCGACGACUGGCGACGACUUUCAAAGCCCGCGCUCGCACCGACCCGCUUCGGCUUAACUGAUCCACAGACAAGCGAUUCGCCGUCCCUUUCCGGCUCCGUAGUUCCGCCUAAUAGCACAGACGGCGACCGGAAAUUCGAUUAAUCCUCUGAUGCGCUUUAGGAGUCGCGAGGACUUUGCAAGUAACUCCCUGUAAUUUCGCCUAUCACGAGCGUGAUUUCCACGGCAUUAACAUCGCAAUUCUAAUUACAUUUUGGAUUUGUCAAUGGAGCCUUGCGAGUGCAUCAAGUCUCACGACGAGUCUCGCCGGGGCCGCUAUUGUUUUCACCAGCACUCUCGUUCCGUUACGAUAGAAUUAGCGUAAUAGCUCAGGCGUGUCGGAAGUUACUUUGCUUGACAUCGCAAGACUGUCACAAAACGUUCACGAGCAUUUACAAGCAUUUGAUCAACAAUAUCAUCUGCUCAAGAUGGAGCACAUUUCUGCAUUUAAGACACCACCAAUAGUUUCUUGAAUGUAUUUCACAACAAUCUUGAUGUCAGCUGUAGUUAGAUUCAACGUAAUUGUAGAAUCUUCUCAAGAAUUUUAUACGUUCAAUCGCACGCUUUGCUUUUUCAAUCCUAUAUAAAUAUAUUUCAAUAGCUCAAAGCGAACUGUGAUUUCAAUUUCGAGAGUUAGUUGUUUAUUCGAUUAUCACUAUAUCGAUCUUUAUUCCACUCUCCGACACUUGAUUCCGCCGAGUCUCAGUUUACACUAUAAGAAUUGCAUCGAGAUUUACUUGUAAUCUUACAUUUCACUUUCAAAUAAGCAAUAUAUCAGAGGAUUAAUCUGGAUCAGGAUCGAGUCGAAGUCGGUGCGGAGUUUGGAAGCCGCGCAGACGAAUUUAUUGCGGUGCAAACGGAGUUUUAUGCGCGGUAUCGAAAGUGGAGAUUCGCAGGAGCGAGGAUUCUCGUAGAAUUGAAGAGAAUUGAAUCGUAGAAUUGAAGAUUGCGCGCGUCGCUCCUUCGGCAGAUAUGUCGAUCGUAAGAUUGACGAAGGGACGAUACUCGGCGGCGAUACGCGUGCCGCCGUCCGCGUUAUUACGGCGUUGUUACGCGCUCGCGCGAGGUGGUAACACAACGAAUUGCGAAUUACAAGGUAAUGUCGAUUAGAUAGGGGGAAUAUCGCUUAAGGGAGAUAACGUUAAUUUUAUAUCGGGUGCGAGAGAGCUCUUAAACGUUCAGCCGCGCGCUUGUCGACUAGCACGCGCGCCGUUAUUUCUCGCCGAUGCCAAUACGGUAUCGCCGCCGUGCAAACGCUAUUACGUGCAGCGGAUGCGGAAUAGUACCUGUGGUAUACGGGUCGUAUGUACGUUUAUCGUGUUCAAUAGAGAUCUACUGAACUUCCGUUGCACGCGCGCGGUGUCUUGUGCGGCCGUCGCGGGGGAAAGCGAUAAGACAGAAAAAAAGAACGCAUCGAUUUCGGGGAAACAGCCAGAACCCCCGCGAAUCUUUUCAUAAAUUUCUUCUUCGCUCGUCAUCGGCCUUCUCGCGAUGUGAUUCAACUUCCGUCGUGCAGCGUUGACUCAGAGACUCGUAUAGAAGGAUGAUUCACGAUAAUGAUCGCAAUCGUGAUGCAGGAAGAAGAGGAAUAUUUAAUCGGCUUCGCUCAAUCGGCCUCAUAACUGCAAAUCAGAUCUUAUAAAUAGAUCUCCGUUGUAAUACGCGUCUUCGACAGCGUGCUCGUCGACGCGCGCGCAGACGUUCCGACGCCUCCCAUCGCGGAGGCUUCGAUUUCUCCUUUUUUCUCUCUCUCUCUCUCUCUCUCUCUCUCUUCUCUAUUCGUGUAGUGUAUUACGUAUCGAAAUACAUGCGCCCGCGAGAAACACAAUGUGCACCGGGAUCAACGGUGCUUUGCGUGCUUAUAUUUUAAGCUUUACGGACAAGUGUCACACGUAUAUCGAGUAUACAAAAUCACCGCAUGACGUUCCUCGCAUGGUGGAUAUGUCGGGAAGCUUAUGGUUCGUGCGGACAAAUUGGUUAUUUGCUGUCGGGAAUCCUGUGUCUUGCGCCAAGCUGUUUGAGAUAAGGCCGUUACCGAUCAGAACACAAGACAACGAGCAUAAAUCUUUCACGAGGUAUCAAUUUUACUCGAAGGUCAUAACGGAGUGCCGAGCUUAUGGCUCGCCGCAUUCAUCGCGAAAACAACAUGCACGCACUUACCUUAUUAGAUAAUACGCGGCGGGAGAGGAGAAGUGCGGCACGGUGUGCAUUAUAAAAUAUGCGAUGAGUUUUUUUUUUUAUAACGCGCAAAUGACGGGCGUGGCGUUAAAUAGUGCGGAUUGUUAAUCUACUGCGCGGGCCAAAGAGGAGGUCACAAAGCGGUGCUUGAUAACAGCGACGAUUUAUUAGCGUAAAAUGUGUUAUUUCGACGAUUGCAUUUUGCGCAGUAUUUUUUUUCCAAUCGCUGAAUAUAGUAACCGCGAUGCAAAACGUAACAUUGAUAUACGAUAAAAUGUAUACUGCAAAGUGCAUUUGUACGUGUAUAAACAUGUUGAAAUUAUUUUAAAAAGUCAUUAUUGCUGAAAGCGAGUACAAAAGUGUUGUUUGCGUGAUACAAGAUAUAUUACAAUGCUGUGGAAUAAAAUGACAUGAAAUAUUUAAAAUAUUCGAUAUUGCAAAUUUCAAAUUAUACAAUUUCGAAAACAAUUUUAAUUUCCCGAAAUAUUUAACGACAGAAAUAUAUAAAAUUAUUACUGCCGCACGCAUUUUACAAACUCUAUUCGAACGUAUUCAGAUUGUAUAAUAAUUAAUCUAGAAGAAGGGAUAAAGUAUUUAACGAAAAUGGAAAAGGGAAUAAUUUCGGCGUGUAAGGCGCGUACAAAAGUGCUUGGAAUAUCACUCUUCGACAGUGCCAUAUAACGACAAUUUAAAGAAUAAGUCGCAGAGAGAGACGAGGACUAUCUUCCGCCGUCACACAAAUGACGUUGAAGAAAAUAAUAAUAUAGCCAAUAUCUUCGAAUUGUGUCUGAAAUGAAAUCUCCUGAAAUCAAAUGCGGCACGUGAAUGGGAGGAAGAAAAUGCGAUACCUUUGUCAUUAUCUGUGUCUCGUUAAAACUUUCAUUCGACUCCUGUCAAUGCGAUAUGAUUACGCGGAUCCGAAAUGUGCCGCUUGUGCUGUCGAAAGCUCCGGCGACGAAGCUUUUUCCACGCCGGCAUGCGCGCGGCCACGCUAACUAAGCCGUUCGCUGAUUAACGCAAACGCGCGACGUAAUCAGCGCGAUUGCGCGAGAUCAGCGGAGCGUGUGUGCCUCGAUGCGGCCGCGAAUGUCUCGCAAUUAUGAUCAGCGCGUUACGCACUUUGCUAUGUACUCGCGCGUGGAAUUACCAGUUUAACAAUUGCGCAAUGAGUUUGACGAAUACGCAUGAAUCGGUUCGCUUAGAUCACGCGCUCCCUUUUGCAUUAUCACACUUUCUCGAUGUGUAACACGAUUUCUCUGUAUAUUGACCCUUUCGGCUCUGCCCGCGACAUUACGCAAAGCUUCUCGAUUCAUUGUGCAAUUCUAUAUUUGUAAGUUUUCUAAAAGAAAAAACGACUUUUUUAAUAAUUAUCUUCAUAGCUUGCUCUUCAGACAAGUCGAUCGCCCGAUGCAAAUGCGCAUCAUCAUUUCCCGGAUUGACACCGAAAGGGUUAAUAAUGCGCAGUUCGCUGUUGAAUCGGUGUGCCGUAAUUGUAGUGAUGCGAGCCCGAGAGGAUCGGUAUUGUGUACAAUCGAUACAAUCUUGUUAGCCUACUUUAUCAAAUUUGACAAAUGUGUAAACGCACCGUGAUGAUUUCGAUGACGAAAGCGCAACAGAAGGUACGCGACAGGUACGCAAGUGUCGCGAUCAUCGAUCCGAUACUGCGAUAAGUUUCCAUUGGUGAAUAUGAUAAUAAACGGGAAAACAGCUUUUUCAGAGCGACGGACGAAUAGAACGGGGGGCGGCUGUGACAAACGGAAAUUUCAUCUGUCGAACUCACAUCGACAAGUUGCGCGAAUAUGUUUGUCAGCUUGCGGAGCCGCGAGAUAAACAAUUCGCCGCGCUUUCUGAAAGAGUUCACCCACGACUCCUUCGCGAACAAACGCGAACUCUUGAGGAUCUCGCUCGCACUGUCCAAUCGCGUAAUUCACCGCGACAGUUGCCGACAGACGUUCGAUCCAUCAGCAUCGAUUUGUCGAGUUUCACGAGACGGGAUCCGUCGCCGCCGCCGUCGCCGCCGCCGUCGCCGCCGCGAUGCGAAACGGCGCGCGCGAUUGCACGAGACGGACAAUCCAAUUCAGGAUGACGGACGAUCCAUUCGGGAUUCGCGUCGUAAUUGACGAUCGCCUCCCCCGCACGCGCGUUAAUCAAUUCCGAUUUCGGUCGCAACGAAGGUGACUACGCAUUACUGCCGUCGCCGCUGUUAUGCGCGCCGAGCGCCGAUGGCGGCGCGCGCGUAAGAACGGACGUCCGGGCCGCGCGCGAGAUUGUACGCAAAUUGCAAUAUUGUUCACGUUGCGCGAAUGCGUGCCCGGCCCGUUAUUAUUAUCCCGGCGCCGGGAGAAAAAUCCGUGCAGCGGGGCGGGGGUCUUCACGUUUCCCCGCCGGAUGCAACUCGCCGUCGCCGAAAAAUGCCCCGAGGGGGUCUCGAAGCGGGAGCUCCUCGGCAGGAUCUCUCUCGGGAGACUUCGUCAUUCGGGACGACGGAAUACGACGACCGUCGGUUGGCUCUGCACGGCGCGAGCAAGCGACCGCGCGAGAUUGCAUCCGCCGCAUACGACUAUGAUGCACCGUCGCUCCUCGCGUGAAUACCGUUCCGUUGACGCUCGUACACGCGGAAAACACGUACGUAAUAAUACUCGGACACACGUACACACAGGACACGGACACAUACUCUUAAGUAAGAUCUAGUACUUACGUAUAUUAUGAUUAUUAUUGUGGUAUAAUUAAUUAAUUCCGUUUAAGCAAUCAAAAUAAACUCAUAUUUUGUAUGUGGGCCACGCGCGGCGAGGCGCGCCCGUGGCAAAGCCCGCAUUAUCGUCAUUACUAAUAUUAUUAUAAUAAAGCACACUACGCUCCAAAAUUGUUGCCACCAUUGUUACUUAUUAUCGCUAUCGCUGUGUUACUUGUGCCGACAUAUACUAUAUAUACAUAUAUAUUUAUUUUCACGUA